rnacentral:misc_RNA from 1 species
GAACGCACCUUGCGCCCCUUGGUCAUUCCGAAGGGCAUGCCUGUUUGAGUAUCAUGAAAAUAUCAACCUUGACUUGGGUUUUGUGCUCUAGUCUUGGCUUGGAAUUGGGUGCUUGCCGCUUUUACGAGCGGCUCACCUUAAAUGUAUUAGCUGGAUCUGUCUUUGAGACUUGGUUUGACUUGGCGUAAUAAGUAUUUCGCUAAGGACAUUCUUCGGAGUGGCCUCGUUUCUAGGACGCUUGUCCGCUUCCCAAUACAAGUUCCACCUCGUGGACAUGACUUUUUUAUUAUCUGGCCUCAAAUCAGGUAGGACUACCCGCUGAACUUAAG